UACGAAGGGGGCUAGCGUUGCUCGGAAUCACUGGGCGUAAAGGGCGCGUAGGCGGCUGUACAAGUCAAAGGUGAAAUCCCUCGGCUCAACUGAGGAACUGCCUUUGAAACUGUACGGCUUGAGGCCGGGAGGGGGUAGCGGAAUUCCCAGUGUAGCGGUGAAAUGCGUAGAUACUGGGAGGAAUACCAGUGGCGAAGGCGGCUACCUGGACCGGUUCUGACGCUUAGGCGCGAAAGCGUGGGUAGCAAACAGG
rnacentral:rRNA from 1 species